UUGGAGGGCAAGUCUGGUGCAGCAGGGAGGUAAUUCCAGCUCCAAUAGCGUAUAUUAAAGUUGUUGCAGUUAAAAAGCUCGUAGUUGAAUUUCGGGAUCAGUACGUUGGUCGUGCCUUAGGUACGUACUGGUGUUACUGGUUCCUACCUUCUGACGAACCAUCAUGUCAUUCAUUUGGUGUGGCGGGGAAUCAGGACUGUUACUUUGAAAAAAUUAGAGUGUUUAAAGCAGGCUCGCGCUUGAAUACAUUAGCAUGGAAUAAUGAAAUAGGACGUUGAUCCUAUUUUGUUGGUUUCUAGGAUUGACGUAAUGAUUAAUAGGGAUAGUUGGGGCAUUAGUAUUCAAUUGUCAGAGGUGAAAUUCUUGGAUUUAUUGAAGACUAACUACUGCGAAAGCAUUUGCCAAGGAUGUUUUCAUUAAUCAAGAACGAAAGUUAGGGGAUCGAAGACGAUCAGAUACCGUCGUAGUCUUAACCAUAAACUAUGCCGACUAGGGAUCGGAUGAUGUUAAUUUUUUAAUGACUCAUUCGGCGCCUUACGGGAAAC
rnacentral:rRNA from 1 species